rnacentral:rRNA from 1 species
UACGUAGGGGGCAAGCGUUGUCCGGAAUCAUUGGGCGUAAAGCGCGUGUAGGCGGUUCGGUAAGUCUGCUGUGAAAGUCCAGGGCUCAACCCUGGGAUGCCGGUGGAUACUGUCGGACUAGAGUACGGAAGAGGCGAGUGGAAUUCCCGGUGUAGCGGUGAAAUGCGCAGAUAUCGGGAGGAACACCAAUUGCGAAGGCAGCUCGCUGGGACGUUACUGACACUGAGACGCGAAAGCGUGGGGAGCAAACAGG